rnacentral:rRNA from 1 species
UGGGGAAUAUUGGACAAUGGGCGAAAGCCUGAUCCAGCCAUGCCGCGUGUGUGAAGAAGGUCUUCGGAUUGUAAAGCACUUUAAGUUGGGAGGAAGGGCAUUAACCUAAUACGUUAGUGUUUUGACGUUACCGACAGAAUAAGCACCGGCUAACUCUGUGCCAGCAGCCGCGGUAAUACAGAGGGUGCAAGCGUUAAUCGGAAUUACUGGGCGUAAAGCGCGCGUAGGUGGUUUGUUAAGUUGGAUGUGAAAUCCCCGGGCUCAACCUGGGAACUGCAUUUAAAACUGACUGACUAGAGUAUGGUAGAGGGUGGUGGAAUUUCCUGUGUAGCGGUGAAAUGCGUAGAUAUAGGAAGGAACACCAGUGGCGAAGGCGACCACCUGGACUAAUACUGACACUGAGGUGCGAAAGCGUGGGGAGCAAACA